rnacentral:misc_RNA from 1 species
AAAGAGGAGGUGGCCUCAUUGUUUUAGGAUUGUAUACAAUCCACCCAUCUUUGGGCUUCUUGUGAGCGAAAAUAGUCCAAGGUUCAUCUUGAUUUACAGAAAGAUCAGCAGCCUCAGAAACUCCUAUGUGUGCUGAAGCAGUCGCCGAUGAAACUUUUCUCUUUGCUCGUACAUUUUUCUUGCCUUUGAUAUCAUUAGAUUCAAUGGACAUUUCUUGGGUAAUUUCAGUUUGUUUAACAAUAAUGUCAAAACUGGUAUCCUCAGUCUGGCCUUUUGUGACUCGUCUUUUCGUCUGCCGAGUAGUAGGAACCUCAGAUGUGACGUUGCUUUGGUUGCGAUUCUUACUUGGCAAUUUUCUGGACUUCUUUUUUGAAGGGUUAGCUGCUACUUCUAGACUCUCCUCAGAUGAUACUUUAUCCUCCUGUGCCACAGAUCCAUUGCCUGCAUCAUCAAGUUUGCUGUCGAGGAAAGUCUUCAAAGAAGCAACAAGUUCUUGCUUAGUACCUCUGGAAGGAAUCCCAAGACUCCUAAGUUUUACUCUGAGCUGAGGAACAGUCAUUUUCUCUACUGUUCCCAUAUCCUCCACAAGAAUCUCCCCACUCUUGCCAACAUUUUCCUUUGAAACACCCUUUUCAGCUGCAACACUCACUUGUUCAUUUGAUUUUCCAGUAGCUGAUGAGGUUGAAAAGGGUCUUUUUUUAGACCCCAUUAUUGUCAAAUUCAGAGAAACCAAAACCUGAAACUUGGGUAUCCUUGAAAUGACUCCAACACUAUUGGAAGUGAUGAAAU